UUGAACGCUGGCGGCAUGCUUUACACAUGCAAGUCGAACGGUAGACCCUUUCGGGGGUUGAGAGUGGCGAACGGGUGAGUAAUGCAUCGGAACAUACCCAGUCGUGGGGGAUAACGUAGCGAAAGUUACGCUAAUACCGCAUACGCCCUGAGGGGGAAAGCAGGGGAUCUUCGGACCUUGUGCGAAUGGAGCGGCCGAUGUCAGAUUAGCUAGUUGGUGGGGUAAAGGCCCACCAAGGCGACGAUCUGUAGCGGGUCUGAGAGGAUGAUCCGCCACACUGGGACUGGGACACGGCCCAGACUCCUACGGGAGGCAGCAGUGGGGAAUUUUGGACAAUGGGCGCAAGCCUGAUCCAGCCAUGCCGCGUGCGGGACGAAGGCCUUCGGGUUGUAAAGCGCUUUCAGCCGGAAAGAAAUCGUCAAGGCUAAUAUCCUUGAUGGAUGACGGUACCGGAAGAAGAAGCACCGGCUAACUGCGU
rnacentral:rRNA from 1 species